rnacentral:miRNA from 1 species
UUUUUAGUGUAAGUAUGUCUCAUGCAUUACCUGUGUGGGUCCCAGAGGUGUACUGACUUGCAUGGGAUAUACUUAUACUACAG